ACACACACACACACACACACACACACACACCACUGCACAUGGAGGAAAUGUAGUCCCUAUAUAAACCUGUUGGCUAUUGCAUGUUAGUGGUUACUUCUGUAGUACUCAAACAACUUUACCUCUAUGUAUUUUGAACUCUCUAUUAUCCCUCCUUUUUUAUUUCGAGUAGAAACUACCCUGCAAGCUCACCCUUUAUCUUGGAAUGCCUAUAUAAGAGUCUGGUCUGUAUACCAUGUUCUGCGAUCACUAAAGUGAGCUUCCGUGAGGUGUAAUUAAAUGCACACCGGGAGAAAGGCUUCAACAGUGAAGAGCUGUGAAGACAAGAAAUUGAGGAAUCAUACGAGUGUUGGCACUCUCCUGACCCUAUGGCAGACACUAUGAUUAGCCCUGUCUCAGCAGAGGACGUGAACAUAGACAGCCAAGAUGAAAAUCUAGAGUCUGUCUCCAGAAGCCACCCCCGAGCUGCCCUUUGCCAGGGCAGGUGGUGCUCACCUGUUCAGGUUUAUGCUGCUGUACAGUAUUGUAAAUGUAGCUCAAGCCAACACGAGUCAAAACGUAAGAGGCUUGCUCAUUUAUAAGAGUGUCCAAAUGGGCUUCAAUCUAAAAUAAAAUGCAGCAGGAAAAGCA